rnacentral:rRNA from 1 species
UGCCAGCAGCCGCGGUAAUACGGAAGGUGCAAGCGUUAAUCGGAAUUAUUGGGCGUAAAGGGCGCGUAGGCGGAAGAGAAAGUUUGGUGUGAAAUUCCGGGGCUUAACCCCGGACUGCACCGAAAACUUCUUUUCUUGAGGAUAGGCGGAGAAAACGGAAUUCCAUGUGUAGCGGUGGAAUGCGUAGAUAUAUGGAAGAACACCGGUGGCGAAAGCGGUUUUCUAGCUUAUUCCUGACGCUGAGGCGCGAAAGCAAGGGGAGCAAACAGGAUUAGAUA